CUGAUUUGCUACAUUUUGAAAUGUUGCAAAAAGCUGUGAGGAGAAGCUAAGACUACAACAAUUUGAUUAUCAAGGAGCCAGUCAAGAUAAGACAGAAUAAAAGAAGCAGCCUCUCUCUGAGUGCUGGAAACCAGUUCCCAAUCCAGUUCAAAAUAAAACAGGAUUGAAGACAUUCAGCUAACCUGCAAAGCCAAGAACCUCAAAGUUAACCUUGCAGCAAGCAGUUGCUAUUCUUUUCAUUUGUUCACAUUAAAUGAUGCAGCCCUUUGAUGACUAACUCGUCGCCGAUAAAGAGCUCAUGCAAAUUUUGUGGAAAUUGAAAUGAGUCAAGUCGACCAUGAGGGCGCUCAGGAAGUACAUUUCAACAAGAAAGUGUCAACAAAAUCAGGAAUUCUUAUCUGCAUACAACUUUGAAAGUGGGGAAAACUGGAACUUUCAAGACAGAGAUUAAUAGAUUUUAUUUGGUAAAGGUGUCGAGAGGCAUGGAGUACAUGGGAUAGGCUACAGACUAGCCAUGAUCCAAUUGAAUGAAAGAGCAGAAUUGAAUGGUUGAAUGCCGUAUGCUUAUGACAAUAAACUGCUUCUCAAUACAUUAGUAACUGACUUGUGUUUGCAAUUAGUUCAUUUAUGUGUAUUGGUGCAAAUAAAGCACUGUUCCCAUAUACUUCAAUGUAUUAACUAUUGGGUAUAAUAACUGUUUGCUCUGAUGUGAUGUAAAAUAUGCCAAAGGGCAAUUUGAUGCAUUUUCUUUUAGCAUAUUCUUUUUCAGAAAGUUAUUCUGCAUAAAAAUAU